rnacentral:rRNA from 1 species
AGCAGCCGCGGUAAAUUCCAGCUCCAAUAGCGUAUAUUAAAGUUGUUGCAGUUAAAAAAGCUCGUAGUUGAAUUUUAGGCCUGGCCAGGCGGUCCGUCUUUGGCGAGUACUGUCUUAUUGUCGGGUCUUCCUUCUGGUGAACCAGUAUGUCCUUUAUUGGGUGUGUUGGGGAGCCAGGACCAUUACCUUGAAAAAAUUGGAGUGUUUAAAGCGGGCUAUUGCUUGAAUAGAUUAGCAUGGAAUAAUAGAAUAGGACGUUGUGGUUCUAUUUUGUUGGUUUCUAGGACCACCGUAAUGAUUAAUAGGGAUAGUUGGGGGCAUUAGUAUUCAAUUGUCAGAGGUGAAAUUCUUGGAUUUAUUGAAGCCUAACUACUGCGAAAGCAUUUGCCAAGGAUGUUUU